rnacentral:rRNA from 1 species
AUGAAGACCUGUAUGAAUGGCGUAACGAGAGCUUAACUGUCUCACUCUUUUAGUCAAUGAAAUUGAUCUCCCCGUGCAGAAGCGAGGAUAAAUACAUAAGACGAAAAGACCCUAUGGAGCUUAAGAAUCUAAAGCAGCCCAAACAAAUUAAACAAAAUACAGGACCCUGCUUUCACAUUUCUUCGGUUGGGGCGACCAUGGAGAAAAACAAAACCUCUACGAAAAAAAUACCAAUAAUUGUAUGAAUUAACGAAACACAAGUCUAAAUUCCAGAAUAUCUGUUUAUAAAUGAUCCGGCUUUACCUUUAAGCCGACCAACGGAUCAAGUUACCCUAGGGAUAACAGCGCAAUCCCCUUCUAGAGCCCACAUCGACAAGGG